UCCUGACUGACCGAUAGUGAACCAGUACCGUGAGGGAAAGGCGAAAAGAACCCCGGCGAGGGGAGUGAAAAAGAACCUGAAACCGUGUACGUACAAGCAGUGGGAGCACGCUUAGGCGUGUGACUGCGUACCUUUUGUAUAAUGGGUCAGCGACUUAUAUUCUGUAGCAAGGUUAACCGAAUAGGGGAGCCGAAGGGAAACCGAGUCUUAACUGGGCGUUAAGUUGCAGGGUAUAGACCCGAAACCCGGUGAUCUAGCCAUGGGCAGGUUGAAGGUUGGGUAACACUAACUGGAGGACCGAACCGACUAAUGUUGAAAAAUUAGCGGAUGACUUGUGGCUGGGGGUGAAAGGCCAAUCAAACCGGGAGAUAGCUGGUUCUCCCCGAAAGCUAUUUAGGUAGCGCCUCGUGAAUUCAUCUCCGGGGGUAGAGCACUGUUUCGGCAAGGGGGUCAUCCCGACUUACCAACCCGAUGCAAACUGCGAAUACCGGAGAAUGUUAUCACGGGAGACACACGGCGGGUGCUAACGUCCGUCGUGAAGAGGGAAACAACCCAGACCGCCAGCUAAGGUCCCAAAGUCAUGGUUAAGUGGGAAAC
rnacentral:rRNA from 1 species